rnacentral:rRNA from 1 species
GAUGAACGCUGGCGGCGUGCCUAAUACAUGCAAGUCGAGCGAACAGAUGAGAAGCUUGCUCCUCUGACGUUAGCGGCGGACGGGUGAGUAACACGUGGAUAACCUACCUAUAAGACUGGGAUAACUUCGGGAAACCGGAGCUAAUACCGGAUAAUAUUUUGAACCGCAUGGUUCAAUAGUGAAAGACGGUUUUGCUGUCACUUAUAGAUGGAUCCGCGCAGCAUUAGCUAGUUGGUAAGGUAACGGCUUACCAAGGCAACGAUGCGUAGCCGACCUGAGAGGGUGAUGGGCCACACUGGAAAUGAGACACGGUACCGACUGCUACGGGAGGCAGCAGUAGGGAAUCUUCUGCAAUGGGCGAAAGCCUGACGGAGCAACGCCGCGUGAGUGAUGAAGGUCUUCGGAUCGUAAAACUCUGUUAUUAGGGAAGAACAUAUGUGUAAGUAACUGUGCACAUCUGGACGGUACCUAAUCAGAAAGCCACGGCUAACGACGUG